rnacentral:rRNA from 1 species
GAUGAACGCUGGCGGCGUGCCUAAUACAUGCAAGUCGAGCGAACAGACGAGGAGCUUGCUCCUCUGACGUUAGCGGCGGACGGGUGAGUAACACGUGGAUAACCUACCUAUAAGACUGGGAUAACUUCGGGAAACCGGAGCUAAUACCGGAUAAUAUAUUGAACCGCAUGGUUCAAUAGUGAAAGACGGUUUUGCUGUCACUUAUAGAUGGAUCCGCGCCGCAUUAGCUAGUUGGUAAGGUAACGGCUUACCAAGGCAACGAUGCGUAGCCGACCUGAGAGGGGGACCCGCCCACCUUGACCUUGGACCCGGCCCCGGCCCCCUCGGGGGGCCGCAGGUGGGAAUCUUCCGCCAGGGGCGAAAGCCUGGCGGGCCAACCCCCCGGGGGGGAUGAAGGUUUUCCGCUCGUAAACCCCUUUUUUUUGGGAAAAAAAAAUGUGUAAGUAACUUUGCCCGUUUUGACGGUACCUAAUCAGAAAGCCCCGGCAACCUCCGU